UACGUAGGGUGCGAGCGUUGUCCGGAAUUACUGGGCGGAAAGAGCUCGUAGGUGGUUUGUCGCGUUGUUCGUGAAAACCGGGGGCUUAACCCUCGGCGUGCGGGCGAUACGGGCAGACUUGAGUACUGCAGGGGAGACUGGAAUUCCUGGUGUAGCGGUGGAAUGCGCAGAUAUCAGGAGGAACACCGGUGGCGAAGGCGGGUCUCUGGGCAGUAACUGACGCUGAGGAGCGAAAGUGUGGGGAGCGAGCAGG
rnacentral:rRNA from 1 species